rnacentral:tRNA from 1 species
AAGGUUUUAAGUUAAAUUAAACUUCUAACCUUCAAAGUUAAAAAUAGAGAUAAUCUAAACCUUA